rnacentral:rRNA from 1 species
GAUUUGUUUUUUAAUUUGAAACUAGUAUGAAAGGAUCUACUAUUAAAAUUAGUAUUAUUUUAAGAUAUUGAAAUUAGUUUAUUAAUGCAAACUUUAAUAUACUUUUUUAAGACGAUAAGACCCUAAGAAUCUUAAUUUAAGUAAAUAAUCCAAAUUUAACAUUUUUAAAUUUAAUUGGGGAAAUAAUAAACACUAAUAUUCUUAAUAUCCUUUGUUUUACAUGAUCCUUUUAUAAUGACACAAUGAAAAAGAUACUCUAGGGAUAACAGCAUAAUAUUUAAUCAAGCCCUUAUUUAGAUAAAUGA